GGGGCUCUGUGAAGCCCGUACCCACAAUGGCGCCCAUCUAAAACCUGUGAUAGCGUCAGGGAGAGCGCUCAGAGCGUCAGAAAAAGCAGCGGCGUGUCUCUUAAGGCGCCGGUGAGCAUCGCUGAGCUCCAGUGAAGCCCCGCUGGAGAGUUUCCUAACACACUGCUGCGACAAGCUGCCGCGUCGUCUGCGGUCCUCAAGUAAGGAGUCAUCUUGAUGGACACCCGCACAUUAAGCUGCCGGCCGAGCCUUUCCCUUCAGCCGUCGAGAUGGAUUACUGAGGACCGCUGUUCAGACUGAGCGGAAGGAGGAAGAGGAGGGGGCAGCAGAUGAUGCGGGUCUGCGUGAGAGAUGCCACACCUGAUUACAGGUGACGUCAUCUCCGGUGGCAGAUACGUCCAACACCAUCUUUCACGAAACUUGACUUUGACCCUUUAAAGGGGCGUCCAAAUUGAGUGCCCGAGGGAAAACGCUUGUUAGCGAAGAAAUACAUCUGGCCUUUUCUCGCCUCUGCACAAGUUCCUUCAGAAACACGUCAAGGAAACAAUGUAGAAGGAAGUAAGAGAUAAAGUUGCCACAGCUCUGUUUAUUUGCUGUGUCAACGAUUGAGAGAUGACACUGUUUCUAUGCGGGAGAGGAAGAGGAAUCUGGCCCAGCCGCAUUUCCUCGGGCCAAAAACAUCACUUGAAGAGGCUGAGGAGGAUUACUGACACUUUGUUUGAAAGCUGAAUAUCCUGACUUUACGUCCAUUUACUGGGAGCUGAGUCAUCAUCAAUCACUCAUUUUUAAGUGGGCAAAAGAAGAAAAACAUUUCUUUACGCUUAUAAAAUUGUGUAUUUUUAGGACACAAAUUGGUAUUGGUCAAAAUCUUCAGCCAGAUGGGUGAAUGACAAAUAAGCAAAUAAUAAAAGAUCCUAUUAAAAUAUCAAUGUGUUCUAAAUAUUUUGGUUGUUCUUGU